UACGGAGGGGGCUAGCGUUGUUCGGAAUUACUGGGCGUAAAGGGCGCGUAGGCGGGGAGGUAAGUCGGGUGUGAAAUCCCUCGGCCCAACCGAGGAACUGCGCCCGAGACUGCUUCUCUUGAGUCCCGGAGAGGAAGAUGGAAUUCCCGGUGUAGCGGUGAAAUGUGUAGAGAUCGGGAGGAACACCGGUGGCGAAGGCGGUCUUCUGGACGGUGACUGACGCUGAGGCGCGAAAGCGUGGGGAGCAAACGGG
rnacentral:rRNA from 1 species